UACGGGGGGGGCAAGCGUUGUUCGGAAUUACUGGGCGUAAAGGCUCGUAGGCGGCCAACUAAGUCGGAUGUGAAAUCCCCAGGCUUAACCUGGGAACUGCAUCCGAUACUGGAUGGCUUGAAUCCGGGAGAGGGAUGCAGAAUUCCAGGUGUAGCGGUGAAAUGCGUAGAUAUCUGGAGGAACACCUGUGGCGAAAGCGGCGCACUGGACCACAACUGACGCUGAGGCGCGAAAGCUAGGGGAGCAAACAGG
rnacentral:rRNA from 1 species